CAAGAUACAAUAGAUAUGAACAUUUCAUUGGGUAUGACAGAGGUAGACAGCAUUGUCGAGCGAGGUUUCGAUAAAAUGACAAGAAUAGUGGUGAGAAAGGGAGACAUUGUUUUAACAUUUGUCCAGUGGUUGAUAAGAAGGUACACAGUCGUAAAAAUAGAAGAGAGGAAAUAAUCUGGAGUAGAAUUAGAAUAGGACAUUGCGCAAUUAAUAAAUUCCUUAAUAUCAUAGGCAAGCAUGACAGUGGAGAUUGUGACCAGUUCAAGACAACAGAAUCCAUGACACGUUAUUUUUGUAAUUGUACAAAAUAUAUUCCACGGAGAAGAAAUAUGAUGGGGAAAUUAAGCCAGGAAGGAUUGACAAGUACUGUGCUAGACUUUUUAAAACAUUACCACAAAACAUAACACAAAAUACAAUAAUUAAGCACAUGAAGGACUCAGGGAGAUACAACUCCAUUCAGAAUUAAAAUAAAUAUUUGUGUUGUUUUGUGACCAGUAGUUGGUAGCAGUCACAUCAGUAAUUCGAGUAGCCACCCUUUCAUUAAUGAAGAAGGAAAAAAGAACUUCCGGUAGAAACAGGAAGCACGACUGUCCCAACGGUAAACAUACCCAGAAUGACAGUUCUGCAUCGCGCUUUAAGGAUCAUUACUGUGUGUGGAAUGGGCGCUGAUCUGGAAAUAUCCUGCUCCAAAUUCCAAUUCUAAUCCCGACUGGACUCUAGGUUUGGACGCUCACCCUGGUUGUGUUCCCUGGUUAAGUGACUCGGUCCACAAGAGAUCGGCUCGGUUCAGUGCUGUUUCGAGCAGCAGCGGCGGUGUAGGUCUUGUUCAAGACAGAUCAUGGCUCUCAGCCUGUCUCCUGCUGCCGUGUCACAGUGCUUCUCCCUGGUCUCUGUCUGCACCUCCAUCGCCGACCCCAACUGGGUCGAAGUCUCCAACAUAACCAGUGGGAAUGAGGCUGGCUCACAGAUCUUUGGAGUGGCUUACACCCUGCACCUGUCCCGAAAUGUCUCUGACAGAGACCCUCUGGGGGCGCUGCAGAAGACUGGGGUUUACCUCCUCAUCCUCCUGGCCACUCUCUGCUACUCUGGAAUCCUCCUCUCCAGCGGGGCUUUUCUCUUUGACUUCUUGGGGGGCAGCAAGAAGUGGCCGGGGAUGGUCUGCAUGCUGCAUGUCACCACAGCUGUGCUGUGCGUGUGUGUGGUGUUCCUGAGUGGAGCCGUGUUCAGAGUGAUCUCUGACAACCUGGAGCAGAAGGGUGAUCUGCGAGUCGUGUUCGGGGAGAGUUUCUACAUCGCUGUGCUCGCCCUGCUUUUCUCCUGCCUGGGGUCCUGCUGGAGCAUUAGCCAGCUGUACCAGCAGCGCAGGCAGAGGGGGGGCUACCUGGUCAUCGAGGACCCCAGCGACGACAGCGACUCCACUGCCCUGCUUAGGGAUGGAGGCGAGGUCGAUUUCUCAGACUGGAACAACUGACUGAAGCUGUGCCUCCACUGUCUGAUGUGUGGCAGAGCUCCAAUGGGCUGGCCCUCUGUGUGAGGAAUUACACUGCCUCUUUCAAACCACUGUCACAUUAAUCUGCACAAGACUGCAGGAUGUGGAGGGUAGGGACAGGAGGCUUUGCCUGGUUCUGGACAGACCGCUUCUUCUAAAAGCAUCUGAGGAGACCUGAGGUGCCUGUUAUCAUGAAGAAUGUCACAGACAAUGUCAUGAAAGAGACAGUGACAAGCAAGGGGUUCUCUAAGGUCCUGGACUUCACAAGUAACACCCAGCUUUCAAAUGGCCUCUAUAUAUAGGAUACACCCCUUCAUCAGCAGAGCAGCUUGAGCAGUUUCUCCCUUGAUUCUCACUGGAGCCAGGGACUGCAGAGAGCGCAGUCAGCUGACCUCUACCUGGGCUCUGAUUCGAUGAAAACCGUCGCUAUAGUAACCUUGAACAUAUUGUUGAUGUCACCAGUGAAUUUGUGAAUGGAGAGAGAGGGCUAAAGGCUGUGUGUGUGAGUGUGUGUUGCUGUAAUCUCACUGCUUGCUAGAAAGAAGGGUUUACAUGGCUGUGUAAAUAAAAAAAAGAGGUAAAAAGACUGGAUUCAGACUCUGAUCAGGUACUUGUCUCAGUCUUUGCAUUUUCUUUUGAUUUGUGUCACAUUUGCUCACAAUGCAUUAUCACACACAGACACACACAGAAAUAAACACAUUGCAACUUGCAGACAGAAAGAACGCUGACACAUUCAGCUCUAACCACCUGACCACUCUGCCUCCCAGUCCCUCCACUCAAACCGCCAAACCACACUGCCUGCCUCCCAGUCGCUCAGCUCUAACCGCUAGACCACACUGCCCACCUCCUAGUUUCUCAGCUCUAACUACCAGAGCACUCUGCCUCCCAGUCCCUCCACUCAAACCGCUAGACCACACUGCCUCCCAGUCCCUCUGCUCUAACCAGUAGACCAUGCUACUUCCCAGUCCCUGUGCUCUAACCAGUAGACCAUGCUGCCUCUAGUCUCUCAGCUCAAACCGCCAAACCACACUGCCUGCCUCCCAGUCCCUCAGCUCUAACCGCUAGACCACACUGCCCACCUCCUAGUUUCUCAGCUCUAACCACCAGAGCACUCUGCCUCCCAGUCCCUCCACUCAAACCGCUAGACCACACUGCCUCCCAGUCCCUCUGCUCUAAUCAGUAGACCAUGCUACCUCCCAGUCUCUCUGCUCUAACCAGUAAACCAUGCUGCCUCCAGUCGCCCAGCUCUAACCACUAGACCGCAUUUCCUCUCUCCCAGUCCCUCAUCUCUAACCACUAG